rnacentral:rRNA from 1 species
CCGGCACCGGCGCACGGGUGAGUAACACGUAUGCAACCUGCCCUCUUCAGGGGGACAACCUUCCGAAAGGGAGGCUAAUCCCGCGUAUAUCGGUUUCGGGCAUCCGAGAUCGAGGAAAGAUUCAUCGGAAGAGGAUGGGCAUGCGGCGCAUUAGCUAGACGGCGGGGUAACGGCCCACCGUGGCGACGAUGCGUAGGGGUUCUGAGAGGAAGGUCCCCCACACUGGUACUGAGACACGGACCAGACUCCUACGGGAGGCAGCAG